GAGAAACAUUAUGGGAUCUGACGUCAUCAGACUUCUCCAACCGCAAGCCAGUUGUUGGAUCAUACACAAGACGUGCCCUACCUCGAUAUACUGCCAUAGAGCCAACUGGGGCUGGUGGGCCUUUUGGACCAUCACCAGGACAGCAGGCUAAAUUCACUUAUAACAUGAAGGCAUUACAUGACCCAUUUAGUACACAGAACAGAAAAUUAGUGAACGAUAACUAUGGAAUUUCCCUUCCACUUAUUGUUGAACGGAGACAAAACAAGGUUCCUCUGCAAAAACCAGUUACAGGAUCAAAUGUUGAACACCUUGCAGUUCUGCCACGAGCAAACCGUGUUGAUCCACAA